GAUGAACGCUAGCGGCAGGCCUAAUACAUGCAAGCUGAACGGUAAAUAUUGUAGCAAUACGAUAUGGGAGUAGCGUAAGGGUGCGUAACACGUAUGCAGUCUGCCGGCAACAGGAGGAUAGCUACCCGAAAGGGGAAUUAAUACUCCAUAAUAUCACGAGAGGGCAUCUGAUUGUGAUUAAACUCCAAGGGGGUGCGGAUGAGCAUGCGUCUGAUUAGUUAGUUGGUGAGGUAACGGCUCACCAAGACGAUGAUCAGUAGGGGAACUGAGAGGUUGAUCCGCCACACUGGCACUGAGAUACGGGCCAGACUCCUGCGGGAGGCAGCAGUAGGGAAUAUUGGUCAAUGGGUGAAAGCCUGAACCCGCCAUGCCGCGUGCAGGAAGACGGCCUUCUGGGUUGUAAACUGCUUUUGCCAGGGGAUAAAAUACCCAUGCGUGGGGAAUUGAAGGUACCUGGUGAAUAAGCCACGGCUAACUACGUGCCAGCCGCCGCGGUAACAC
rnacentral:rRNA from 1 species